UACGUAGGGCGCAAGCGUUGUCCGGAAUUAUUGGGCGUAAAGAGCUCGUAGGCGGCUUGUCACGUCGGAUGUGAAAGCCCGGGGCUUAACCCCGGGUCUGCAUUCGAUACGGGCAAACUAGAGUACUGCAGGGGAGACUGGAAUUCCUGGUGUAGCGGUGAAAUGCGCAGAUAUCAGGAGGAACACCAAUAGCGAAGGCAGCUCGCUGGGACGGUACUGACGCUAAGGCGCGAAAGCGUGGGGAGCGAACAGG
rnacentral:rRNA from 1 species